rnacentral:rRNA from 1 species
AACCUCUGCAAUAGGCGAAAGCCUGACAGGGUUACUCUGAGUGGUUUCCGCUAAAGAAACCUUUUGGCACCUCUACAAAUGGUGCAGAAUAAGGGGUGGGCAAGUCUGGUGUCAGCCGCCGCGGUAAUACCAGCACCCCGAGUGGUCGGGACGAUUAUUGGGCCUAAAGCAUCCGUAGCCGGUCCUGCAAGUCUUCCGUUAAAUCCAGCUGCUCAACAGA